ACACCGGCAGCUCUAGUGGUAGCAAUUUUUAUUGGGCCUAAAGCGUCCGUAGCCGGUUUAAUAAGUCUCUGGUGAAAUCCUGCAGCUUAACUGUGGGAAUUGCUGGAGAUACUAUUAGACUUGAGAUCGGGAGAGGUUAGAGGUACUCCCAGGGUAGAGGUGAAAUUCUGUAAUCCUGGGAGGACCGCCUGUUGCGAAGGCGUCUAACUGGAACGAUUCUGACGGUGAGGGACGAAAGUUAGGGGCGCGAACCGGAUUAGAUACCCGGGUAGUCCUAACUGUAAACGAUGCGGACUUGGUGUUGGGGUGGUUUUGAGCUGCUCCAGUGCCGAAGGGAAGCUGUUAAGUCCGCCGCCUGGGAAGUACGGUCGCAAGACUGAAACUCAAAGGAAUUGACGGGG
rnacentral:rRNA from 1 species